UAGGGAAUCUUCGGCAAUGGGGGCAACCCUGACCGAGCAACGCCGCGUGAGUGAAGAAGGUUUUCGGAUCGUAAAGCUCUGUCGUAAGAGAAGAACGUGUGUGAGAGUGGAAAGUUCACACAGUGACGGUAACUUACCAGAAAGGGACGGCUAACUACGUGCCAG
rnacentral:rRNA from 1 species